rnacentral:rRNA from 1 species
UACGUAGGGUGCGAGCGUUUGUCCGGAAUUAUUGGGCGUAAAGAGCUCGUAGGCGGUGUGUCACGUCGUUCGUGAAAACCUGCAGCUUAACUGUGGGCGUGCGGUCGAUACGGGCAUCACUGGAGUUCGGCAGGGGAGACUGGAAUUCCUGGUGUAGCGGUGAAAUGCGUAGAUAUCGGGAGGAACACCGGUGGCGAAGGCGACCAUCUGGACGGAUACUGACGCUGAGACGCGAAAGCGUGGGGAGCAAACGGG